UAGUUCGCUGUUAGAAAUGUGAUGUGGUUAUUGUUCAUUCUUGUAGACCAUGUAGACUGUUAAUUCGAUGUUAGGGACUUGUGCCUGUUUACCAACACUCCUUCACUUCAAUUCUGUUUUUGUCGUUGAUUUUCGCUCAAACCCAUAAAAAAAAGAAAAACAGAAAGAAAGAUACGCAUAGUAUUACUUAUUUACUGGUUUGUUUUUUUUUUUUUAAAUUGUGUGUUGAUUGAUAUUUCAAGUUUUGAUAUUAUAUUUGAGUCAUUUUAAAUUUGUAGGGGGCCAAAUUUUAUUUUAUUUUUUGGUCAUAUAUUGAAUAUCAGUGAUCAUGCAGUGAUGUUGAAUUUAUAUAAGGUUAUUUUUUUUUCUUGCAAAAAUAAAGUGAGAAAUAGUUAACCUUUUUAAGAAUUUAUCAGUUUUGUUGUGAUGAUGUUUUAUGAACUUUUGGGACCAUAUUGUGUAAACAAAUCUACUUGUAAGAUAAAUAAGAGACC
rnacentral:misc_RNA from 1 species